GGGCCAACGACCGUCUGGCGGAGGCCAACGCCAAGCUCCUGGGCGAGCGUCACCGCAGCAAGUCGCUGAUCGCCAGCAGCAUGGCCAACGGCAGCCUGGGGGGCCCCCCGCUGGACCUGGGCUCCCUGGGCUCGCUGCCCGCCUACGGGGCCUCCCUGGGGGGCCUGGGCCUGGGGCCCGGGGGCAGCCCCUUGGGGGGGCGGCAGGGCAGCAGAGUGGAGGAUUACCUGGCCAAGGUGAGCAGCGCUGGGGCGGCGGUGUUUCUGGGGUGGUUGUUUUUGUCUUCCUUUGCGGGAUGUUACUGAUUUUUUGCUGUUGUUGUGUUUGUUUUUUCUUUGUUUGUAUUUCCUUCGCCGUCACGUGUUGGGAACGGUGCGCAGGUAGGGGGGUGGCCGUACCAGGUGUAGAUCUGGAGGCGCGCGCUUUGACCGGAAUGUCUUUUGGAAUUCUAACUGGGCUUAUAAAAAUAACCGUUAAUCAAGUAAAGCUCAUUAAAAUGACGGUAGUUUGUGUUUCUACUCAAACGGUAGAUUGUGUAGAAAGUAACAUAUUUAUUUUAAUUGAUUUACUUAUUGCUUGAUUCUUUGUUUGGACAAGAGAACGGAUGUUGCCUUGCAGUGGGGCUGCCCUUUGAGUCACUCUGUUCCCACUCUCACCACACGGCAACGAAACCAGCUGCAGUCGGCACUGAUCCAUGUCUCCGUGUCCGUGUGUUUCUGAGCCUGUGUCUGUGACGUUCUCUCUGUCGUAGAACGGUGGUGGGCCGCCUGCCUAACGUCUCCUCUUCUUCUUCUUCCUCUUCCUCUUCGUCUCACUCCUUUCAGCUUCUAGCUCAGAAAUCUGUCUCUCACCUCUCCCCUCUCCAGCCAGACACAUGAGCAGAUGCAGAGUGAGUUGGAGAGAAACGUGACCAAGGAGCUGAGCCAUGCCACGGUGGAGCUGGAGGGUAGUGGGGCUCGGCCCGGCUGUCCCGCUGGGCUCUGCCUCGCAGCGGACCCCUGGACGACCCGGGAAGCCGCGCCACGCAGCAGUACCUGGACGUCCUGAAGAGGAACUACAUGAUCUGAGGGGGGGGGG
ensembl:lncRNA